rnacentral:rRNA from 1 species
UACGUAGGGUGCGAGCGUUAAUCGGAAUUACUGGGCGUAAAGCGUGCGCAGGCGGUUUUGUAAGCCAGGUGUGAAAUCCCCGGGCUCAACCUGGGAACUGCAUUUGAGACUGCUCUGCUCGGGUGCGGAAGAGGGAAGCGGAAUUUCCGGUGUAGCGGUGAAAUGCGUAGAUAUCGGAAGGAACACCAGUGGCGAAAGCGGCUUCCUGGUCCGACACCGACGUUCAGGCACGAAAGCGUGGGGAGCAAACAGG